UACGAAGGGUGCAAGCGUUACUCGGAAUUACUGGGCGUAAAGCGUGCGUAGGCGGUUUGUUAAGUCCGUUGUGAAAGCCCUGGGCUCAACCUGGGAAUUGCAGUGGAUACUGGCGAGCUAGAGUGCGGUAGAGGAUGGUGGAAUUCCCGGUGUAGCGGUGAAAUGCGUAGAGAUCGGGAGGAACACCCGUGGCGAAGGCGGCUCUCUGGGACGGUACUGACGCUGAGACGCGAAAAGCGUGGGAGAGCAGAACGAGG
rnacentral:rRNA from 1 species